GCUGGGCAUGGUGGUGCAUGCCCAUAGUCCCAGCUACACAGGAGGCUGAGGUAGGAGGAUCACUUGAGCACAGGAGGUCAAGGCUGCAGUCAGCCAUGAUCAUGCCACUGCACUCCAGCCUGGGCAACAGAGUGAGACCCUGUCUCAU
rnacentral:SRP_RNA from 1 species